GACGUCGAAUAUCGACGUCAUGAACACCAAAGUUGAUCGUGUUUAUGACGUCGAAUAUCGACGUCAUGAACACCAAAGUUGAUCGUGUUUAUGACGUCGAAUAUCGACGUCAUAAACACCAAAGUUGAUCGUGUUUAUGACGUCGAAUAUCGACGUC